GUUUGGACCAAAAAAGAAUGUUAGCAAGAUUGUAAAAGAAACCUUGGUCUCUAUUCAUUUCACUUUUUUGAAAACAAGGUGGUUUUAUUUUGUUUUUCAGAGAUCUGCAUCCUGCAGACUUAGUCAUGCACCAGGACUCUUGAUGGAGUAAGAAUAUUAGCAAAGGACUUCUCCUGUCUCUUGGGUAGUGAAGGACCUGAUACUGGGCACAGUGGAAUGCUAGCUCACUCGUCUCUUCCCUUGUCAGGAAAGUUGGUGGAAGAAGAGACACUUGGAGAAUCAAGACUCUCCCAUGAGUAGGUUGGGUGCUGAGAAGAACAGUUACCAGAAAAGGAAACACAAAGAAUGGGAAUGGCUUUUCAUCCUGGUUGUGGGAAGAAUAAACACAUUUCAUAGAGCCAAGCUGCAAGGGGAUUGUUCCGAGACUGGAAAUCUAUUCAGGUACAAUGAAGACAUAUUGUUGGUUUCUUCCUAAGAAACAGGUGUCUGUUACACUAAGCUUUUACCCUCACUCCUGCCUUUGAUUAAUCCCUUGCUGGACUUCAGAGACCCCUACUUAUUUGUGAUUUCUGCAUACUCAUCACUUCUCUCGUCUCAUAGCUUCUGUAUACUGAUUUGAGUAUAUAGCUUUUGCUCUUUUUUGCCUUCUCACAGAAAUACCCCAAAGAGAACGUGAUGAGUUCAAGUUGGUUGUUACUUUCCCUACUGGUCACAGUGCUUAGUCAAGGACCCUCUUACACAUUGCUGGCAAACCUACACGGGCAACUCUUGGGACUGGUAUCGCCUUUGAUCCAGCAGUGAUCAAGACUACUUGAUAAGAUAUUAAGAUCACUAAGUUCUCCCCUCUAAGGCCCGAGAAACGGGAGACACUUUGCAAAAACCAAAACAAAAAACUGUAAUUAAAAGACACCUCAUUUCACAUUAAUGAAAUCUAUAUCCACCAUCUAGAAGAAAGUGCGUAGAGCAUAGUAAGUGUACAAUAUGGUUGAAAUCAACUCAUUUACAUCUGGAAGCACUGCACACAUUUUCAUCUCAAUGCUACACGUGACACUGACUUAAUCCUACAUCAGUUUUAUAAUCUUAUCUGAAAAGAUGUUUUGCAUAAAUUAUAUAUCUAUAUAAAUUAAGGAAGGCCUCAAAUAUUCUGCCAUACUGUUAAUUCAUUGGUUCACAUCAGACCAUACUGCAUGGCAACUACUCAGUGUUAGGUCAAAUAACGUUAUUAACAAAGCUCCUUAAAUUUUAUGGAACUAUUUACAGAAAAAACAGAACUUGCUUUUGUUUUGGAGUUGCGGAGUACCCUGAACUGAAUUUAUUUCAUUAUUUCCCCUCCUCUAUAAAAUUGGUCAUUUGACGUUGUUUACUUUGAUAUUAUAUCUAUACCCUAUUUUUCCCACAAUGAAAAUAGUUAUGACCUCAUUGAUUGCCCAUGAAAUAAAGCCUUUUCUACGAUUCCUUAACCUUGCA
rnacentral:lncRNA from 1 species